rnacentral:tRNA from 1 species
GCAGUGGUCAUUCAGUGGUAGAAUUCUCACCUUCCAUGCCGGAGACCCGGAUUUAAUUCCCAGCCAGUGCA